rnacentral:lncRNA from 1 species
GUUGGAUCGUGAUCCGAGGCUAUAAGGGGGGAUGAUAGCCUCUUUUCGAUUUAUACAGGUUGAUUGCGGAAUUACCUGUAAAUGCUUAAUAAACAAAUGGUUGAACAGUAAUGAUAUAAGGAUAUUAUUAUUUUAAUUGAUAUAAUAAUGUAAGUAUUACUCUUCGAAGCUUACUACAGUAUAUGAAUACUGAGUCAACUUGCUUGAUAGUGUUUCACACACAACUAUAGUAUAUGAAUACUAAGUUAUAUUAGAAACACAAAUUGUAUUGUAGAGUAAAUGACCAGAUAACUGGAUAUAUUGAUACGCAAGUAAAUGACCAGAUAACUGGAUAUAUUGACAAACAAGUAAGUGACCAGAUAACUGGAUAUAUUGACAAACAAGUAAGUGACCAGAUAACUGGAGAGAUAUGAUAAGUAAUACUUGAACAAAUAUAAGGAUUUAAAGCAAUGAAUAUAACCUCAGAUAGUUGACCAGAUAACUGGAUGAGGGAUCUGCGUAAAGUAGUCAACCUCUGUGUUUGACCAGAUAAAUGGAAGAGGAAUCUUUUUAAUUAAGUGUUGUUUUUAAGUAAAAGAUAGAACUAUAAUUAACAGAGAACAACACAAGAGAUUUAUACUGGUUCACCCAAACAAGGGCUAGUCCAGUCCCGACCAACUGCCGGAAUUCACUCGCCUAAAGGUAAUGGCAAAACCUUAGAGUAUCAAGGAAACUCUUAAGAACCUCUCUAAGCUUUAAGGCUACUUCNNNNNNNNNNNNNNNNNNNNNNNNNNNNNNNNNNNNNNNNNNNNNNNNNNNNNNNNNNNNNNNNNNNNNNNNNNNNNNNNNNNNNNNNNNNNNNNNNNNNUAUGGAUUAAAGAUUUUAUAAUGUUAUAAUCCAUAAGAUAUUAGUGAAUGAUAUGUAUAAAUCCAUAAUAUUCACUAAUUGCUUUAAGGAGAAAUUGAGCAUUUAAAAUUUUAAAAUCUAUGUCUUAGUGACAAAUAUAAUCAUGUAAAUAUUCACUAAGUUUUAAAAGAUUUAAAAUUUUCAUUUCAGUCCUUAAAGCCUUAGUAGUAAAACUUCACAUAAAACAAAAUUUCAUUUAAGCCCUUUGAAGUUAUGAUAAAUACUUAGAUUAAUACUUGAAAUAUUUCAUUUAAACCUUGGAAGUAUUAACUAAUUCUAAGCACUUUUCAAUUUGAAAACUUCAUGUAAAUAUUAAUUUUAAGUCCCUGAAGUUUUAACUAAAUAUUUAUUCACUGUAAUGAUAUCCUUUGAACCCUUAAGUUUCAAUGAAAAACUUCAUUGAUAAUUUAAUCCCUUUGAAGUUAUAAUGAAUACUUAGAUUAAUACUUAAAAAAAUUUCAUUUUAAACCUUGGAAGUAUUAAAUAUUUCUAAGUAAUUUUUUGAUUAAAACUUCAUGUAAAUAUUGAUUCUAAGUCCCUGAAGCUUUGACUAAAUUUAUAUUCACUGUAAAGUUAUCAUUUUGACCCUUAAGUUUUAGUGAAUCUUAAAAACUUCAUAAACGAUUUACGUUUAAGUCCUUGAAGUUUCACAAAACUUUAUAUUCACUGAAAAAUAUAAUUUUAAUCCUUAAGUUUCAGUGAAUCAUUUUAAACUUAGAAACUUCAAACAUAAUUUAUGUUUAAGUCCUUGAAGUUUCAUAAGACUUUAUAUUCACUGAAAAAUAUAACUUUAAUCCUUAAGUUUUCAGUGAAUCAUUUUAAACUUCAAAAAUAGUUUGUGUUUAAGCCCUUGAAGUUUUAAAGUUCAAGACUUUGAAAAGUCGAUUAAUACUUCAAAAGAAUUUUAAUUUUAUACCUUGAAGUAUUAACUAAUGUCCAUGCAGCCCUCAAAUUUUUGAUAUUGCUAAUAUUAUGUUUUCUUUAUGCAUGCAUACCCUUAUGUUGAUAAGCUUAGAUGAUUAAAAUCAUAAAACGAUUUUUCAUUUCAACAGAAGAGGUGAUACAUGACAGGAUUAAUCUCAUAUUCAAUGAGACUACGAUCCAUGAAUGGAUCUCCAAAAUAACAGAAAAACAGACACAAAAUACAAGUACUCAAAACAUCAAAAUACUUCUUAGGGCAGAUGUAGUUCAGUCAUAGUGGUGCAUGGUUGGGAUGACCUUGGAGCUAAACUCAUGAAAUAGGUUAGCCAACUCCAGGUUAUAUUCUCUCUCAACAUCUAGCUGUUGCCUUGUUAUGGAAACCAUCUCUUCCAGAUCUCCCAUUCCUUUCUCCAGCAUCCUCACUUGAUGUCGAACCCUUAUGAUUUCCUCAUUCAAAAACACAUUAGUGUUUUGUGAGUUUGGAUCAUAAGUGUUUCUCCAAGUCUUUUGGAAGGAGCUUGCAGUGAAUGGUUGAAUGUGAGAUAUGAUUGGAUGUGGAUAGAGUGGAAUUCCAAAGUACCCUGGGCUAAAGAGUUUUGAGAGCAUCCUUGGGUAGUAGCGAGCUCCAGUGUUCUUGGUUGAUGUAGCCAGAUUGUGCAUGAUCAGUGAUACCCAGUUUACUCUGAUCUUUGACAGCAAGCAGUAAAUUGCUACUAAGAUCAACGUUGAUGGUUCUUCUCUAUCUUCAAUUUGAGGAUAUAUAUUGUACGAGAUGAUCUUCAAAAAGAUUGAGGCUUCUGGUAUGAGCAUUGUAUUCAGAAUCUUAUCAGUGCUCUUAGGGUUAUACCUGUGGGUGAGAGUAUUCCAGAGAAUCUCCCAGCUGCACUUAAAAGGUAGCUCAUCCAGGCUUCUGCAGUUUUGAAGCUUCACUCUGUUGUUGGGUAGGUUUAUCCAUAUUCCAAGUUUAUCAGCUCUUAGAAUGAGACAUAUUCCAUUUACCUUGGUGGUGAUCACUUGAGUACCUACUGUCUCAUACUUGAGAUUUGCAUAGAACUGAGCCAACUCAGAUUUGUAGAUUCUGAGCUGCCCUAUGUUCUCAAGGUAGUCAGUAAGCCUGUUGAAGUUUAGUAGCCCUUCAAUCACCUUGCAGUUGAGAGAUCUGAGUAGAACAGGUUCCUCAAAGAUCAUUCUUUGCUCGAGAAUGAGAUUAUAGGAAAAUUUGGCUAUUGGAGAGAUCCAUGUUGGUGUUCCUUGGAACAUUUCUGAUACUGGAAUCUUUCUGGUGCGUUUCUUCCGGAUAGCGUUGCUGCUUGAAGGAUUGGGGUUGUAUACCGGACUGGAAGGACAGUCUGGUAUGAUUGUUAGUUCCUUCUUCUCAGGAUUGAUUUCUUGAAUCAACAUCCUUGGGACAGACUGGUGUUAGGAAGAGGAAGAAGAUAUGUAUUUGAUUGUUCUUCCUAUCCUUUUAUAGUGAGAUAUUCUACUAUUUGGCUGAUCAUGUCUGUCCAGAUUCUGAAUUAACAGAUAUUGCUUGUAAAGCUUUACAAGCUUUAAGUCAUGUCUACCCGUGAAGAGUUGGCAACUUAGGGUUUGUUUUUCAAUACUCCAUGACACAUGUCUUGGAGAGUCAAAUCAUUUAGAUUUAUCUAGAGAUUUUGUUUAAUAGAUCUAAGUUAAGAUUUGUUUAAAAAACUAUUUAUUUAACUAUUUAGAUCAUACCUUUUUAGUAGUUCAACACAACUCUUACACUCUCCAUGCCUUUAGACUUUUGUAGCCGAUGUUUUCAACUUCUGCAGAUGAAGAUUGAUGUGUGCAGGUGCAGGAUUUGUCUUUUGUCAGUAGUUCUUGCGAGGUGUUUCUUUGCAGGUCAUUCUCUGGUAAUAGAGUUGCCGGAUGUCGCAAGUGAUUGAUGGUUGCAGAUGGGUUGCUGGCUUUUUCAGCAAUGAGAGUUUCAAAACAUAUCUUAUUUGUUUUGAGUUUCCAAGGCAUGGUGUGGCUUACCAACAUCAUUUAGAUAAGAUAUAAUAUAGCAGAAUGGAUUUAACAAUAUGUUGUAUUUAGAUGAUGUUGCAUAGUUGACUAGUUUGCAUUUAACGGACUCUUCUAAACAUGCAGAUGAUUAGUGAUAAGUGAGAUUUCAUCAUGCAUGUAUAUGUCUACAACAUAUAUUCAACUUCUUGAAUAUAUAAUCGUGGCAUAUAAUGAGUUGUUUUGAAGUUUUCAUGCAUGUAUUGCACAUCUCAUAUGUAGGUAGAUUCAUUUUACUUUGCAUGCAUACUAUAUGUAUUUAUCAAAAGAUUAUAAGCAUACAGAUGGUUUGUAAUACGUAAAACAGGCAUGUAUAGGAUUAGUUUCAUGAAUUGAUUGUGAGUUAGCUAGUUUAGUAAGGAAAUAUUCAUGUUUAUGAUUGUAUGUCAUAUAGUUCUCUAACUAGUAUUAAAAAGAUGGCAUCAUUCAAAGAUAAUCAACUGUUUGGUAGGUGAUUGUAUGUAAGCAUGAUGAGUGCAUAUGAUAUGAGUCAACGAGUUUGAUAAUGAAAGCAUAAUCUCAUAGUAUAUAACUGAUUGUUUCAGAUGAUUAUGUAAUUGAAUAUUUCAUAGGUGAUUUUAUAAACCAAGCAUUUAUCAGAUCAUAUAUUUUAUAGAAGCAUAUAAAUCAAUGUAUAGGCAUGUAUUAACGUGAUUGAUAUGAUAGAUUUAGAUUUUAUUAAGUUUGCACAUAGAUCUACUUAAGCUUUAUUUGAGAUACAAAGUAAUCUAGGACAUAGUUGUUUAUAUAGCAUUAGAUCAUGUUAAGUUCAUAUGCAUAUAGAUCUACUUAGGCUUUAUUUGAGAUACAAAGUAAUCUAGGACAUAGUUGCCUUGUAUAGAUGAUCUUGUUUGUAUACCAGUGUGUUGAUCUCCAAUGAUUUAUUCUGCGGAGUCUAAGUUUCUGAGAUUCCUAUUUGAUGGAAGUUCAGAGAUGAUUAUUUCUUGAUCAUCUCUUUCUAUGGGAGUGUCAGAUGGUAUUUGUUGAAUGACUUCAAUUCCUCCUUCUUCUGUGUUUGGAACAGAGAUGGACUCAUCAACGUCAACGUGUAGGGAUUCUAUCAAUGUUUGUCUUUCUUUGAGAAGGACUCUAUAUGCCUUGCUCCUUUUUGAGUAUCCAACCAGGAUUCCUUCAUCAGAUUUUUGUGCUAAUUUAUCUUGGUUUCCCCUUGUUGUGAGAACAUAGCACUUACUCCCAAAUACUUUAAAGAAUGAAACUUUGGGUUUUCUAUUAUUCCAAAGUUCAUAGGGCGUUUUAAGGUCUUUCUAAUGAUUACCUUAUUGAGAGUGUAACAGGCAGUGCUUAUAGCUUCUGCCCAUAGAUAUUGAGGGGAGUCAUGUUCUUGUACCAUAGACUUACUCAUUUCUUGAAGAGUACGAUUUUUUCUUUCUACUAUUCCAUUUUGAGGUGGAGCUUGAGAAACAACAAAUUCAUGCUUUAUCCCAUUGGAUAUACAGUACUCUUCAAAGUCAGAAUUUUCAAAUUCUCCUCCAUGAUCACUUCUGAUUUUUAUGAUAGAUGAACCUUUUUCAUUCUGUACUAGGGUACAAAAUUUAGAAAAUUCACCAAAGGUUUCACUUUUGUUUCUUAGAAAGAACACCCAUGUAUAGUGAGAAUAAUCAUCAAUGAUUACAUAGGUGAACCUUUUUCUUCCAAGGCUUUGGAUUUGGGUUGGCCCAAAUAAGUCCAUGUGAAGAAGCUCUAAGGGUCUAGAAGUGGUUAUUUUUGUGAAGGAUUUAAGUGAGCUUUUGUGUUGCUUUCCUUUUUGACAAGCAUCACAGAUAUUAUUUUUUUCAUAAGCUAUUUUAGGCAACCCGGUUACUAAUUCUUCUUUAGAUAAUCUAGAUAGCUUUGAGUAGCUGGUGUGACCUCGUCGUCUAUGCCAUAGAACUUUCUCAUCACUUGCAGCAAGCAUGCAGAAGUCAUGAGUUGGUUUAGAUUUAUCAAAGUUUAUAGAAUAAGCAUUGCUUUUUCUAUAUCCUCUGGCAAUGAUAACUCCCUCAGAGUUAGUGAUAGAACAAUUGUAUUUUUCAAAUUUUACUACACAACCGAUAUCACAUAAUUAACUUAUGCUAAUCAGGUUGUGUUUUAGACCAUUUACUAAGUAUACAUUUCUUAAGAAUGGUUUUUCUGUAUUUCCUACAUUACCCCUACCUACUAUUGUACCUUCAUUGUUAUCGGCGAACUUAACCUUUUUAGUAGUAGGUAAGUCUAUCAAGUCGUUUAGUAGACUUGAUUCCCCGGUCAUGUGUCUUGUGCAUCCACUGUCGAACAUCCAUUUUGACACAUGCUUUUCCUGAAAAAGUUGAAAGAUCCUUUGGUACCCAUAUUGAGUUGGGUCCUGAUGAAUUAACAUAUUUAAUCUGCUUAUAGUUUCGUAACUCAUCUUUAGUCAUCCAUCUUUGCUUUGGAUGAUUCAUCUUAGAAUGAUUUUUCUUUUUCUUAAGAUGAAUGAAUUUUGUAUUACUAGAAUAAUUAUUAUAUAUUGAAGCAUGCAAAGGUUUUGUAUAACUAGAUUCCCAUACAAAAUGAUCAUUAUAAGUUGUGGCAUUUAAGGUUUUGUUAAUAGGUGCAUUUGACUCAAACUCUAAGCCAAAUUUCUUUUGACCCAAGUUCGAGCCUUGCAACAUAUUAUUUAACUUGGAUGAACUAUUGAAGAAUUUUUGAAGAACACUAUUUUUCUCAUUUAUUCUUUCAGUUUGUAAUUGUAUGCUGUUAUGUUUUUCAGAUAAUUUUUGUAGAGUUUCUUCAUGCUCAAGUAUGAGUUUAUCCUUAGAUUCUAUUUCAGUUUUAAGCAUGAUUGUUUCUUUUUCUUUAUUUCUAAUGAUUUCCUCAAAAUUAUCUAUUUUUAAUUCUAACAAUUCAACCCUAUCAUCAUUUAUUUCAUUGGGUUGUUUUUCUUCAGAUUCUAGAAUAUCAAGUAAUUCAAAAUUUUGACUCUUAAGUGUUUUAAUUUUUUCAUCUCCCUUUUUUAUUUUACUUGAGAGUUUAUGAUUUUCUUCUUUUAAUAACAUGCAUUCUUUUUGUGAUUCUUCUAAUUCUAUUGAGUGAUCAAUAUGUGAUUUAUUCAUGCAUUCUAGUCUUAAUGAUUUACUUAAUUUUUUCUCAGCUUUAUAUUUAUUCAUUAAUUCUAGAAAUGCUUCUUCUAAUGAAUUAAAUCUAGUAUUUGUAAAGUUUACCUCAGAGUCGUUCUCAUGAGCCAUGAGGCAGUCUUCUUGAUCUGACUCAGAAUCUGACCAGUGUACUUGAUGUGCUUUUUCUUUCUUUAGUAGAGGACAUUCAGGUCUGAUGUGUCCAGAUUUGUCGCACAAGUAGCAGAUGGGCUCCUUUGGGUCUUUGUGGUUUUUACUUACUUUUCUGUCGGAAUUCUGAUGGUCUAUCCUUGAAUUUCUCUUUUAUUUCCUUUUUAUGUGAUAUCUCUUUAAAUGAUUUGUGAGCAUUGCCAAGUCAUCAUCAGAUGAUUCAUUAUCGCUUUGACUUUUGAGAGCAAUGUCCUUUUUCUCCUCUUUUGCUCUAAAGAUAAAUCUUUCCUCUUCAUAGGCCAUCAGAUUUCCGCAAAGUUCUACCACUGUGAGUUUGUUCAGAUCAUGAGAUUCUUGGAUAGCAUUCCUCUUUGAGUAGUAUUUGUUUGGAAGGCUUCUUAGAAUCUUGCUCACUUGCUUUUUCUCAGUUACUGGAUCCCCUAGUCCAGCCAGAUCAUUGACUAUUUGUGAUAGUCGAAUGUUCAUUUCUGCGAUAGUCUCAUCUUCCUUCAUAGAGAAUCUUUCGAAUUGAGAAGUGGCAUGUAGUAGCUUAUUUUCCUUGACGUGGGAGGUUCCUUCAUGUAAAUCCUCCAAAGCUUUCCAUACCUUGUGAGCUGUAUCCAAGCAUCGAAUUCUGCUGUACUCAGAUUCAUUGAGAGCGCCAUAUAGUGCAUUCAAUGCUCUUGAGUUGUUGUUUUCCUUGAGGAUAUCCAUUGCUCCCCAAGUCUCUUCUUUGCUUGUUGGAAUAUCAUAAUCUUCCAAUAUGAUUUUCCAGACUCUAUUGUUGAUUGACUUUAAGUAUAACUUUAUCUUGUUCUUCCAGAAGUCAUACUUUACUCCAUCGAACCUGGGAGGUUUGUUCGAUGCAAGACCAGUACUGUUUUCACCAUUUGAAGCCAUAGUUGUUGUUGUAAGAUGUUAGUCUGAUUUCAACGAAACUUGGCUCUGAUACCACUUGUUGGAUCGUGAUCCGAGGCUAUAAGGGGGGAUGAUAGCCUCUUUUCGAUUUAUACAGGUUGAUUGCGGAAUUACCUGUAAAUGCUUAAUAAACAAAUGGUUGAACAGUAAUGAUAUAAUGAUAUUAUUAUUUUAAUUGAUAUAAUAAUGUAAGUAUUACUCUUCGAAGCUUACUACAGUAUAUGAAUACUGAGUCAACUUGCUUGAUAGUGUUUCACACACAACUAUAGUAUAUGAAUACUAAGUUAUAUUGGAAACACAAAUUGUAUUGUAGAGUAAAUGACCAGAUAACUGGAUAUAUUGAUACGCAAGUAAAUGACCAGAUAACUGGAUAUAUUGACAAACAAGUAAGUGACCAGAUAACUGGAUAAGUUGAUAAACAAGUAAGUGACCAGAUAACUGGAGAGAUAUGAUAAGUAAUACUUGAACAAAUAUAAGGAUUUAAAGCAAUGAAUAUAACCUCAGAUAGUUGACCAGAUAACUGGAUGAGGGAUCUGCGUAAAGUAGUCAACCUCUGUGUUUGACCAGAUAACUGGAUUAGGGAUCUUUUUAAUUAAGUGUUGUUUUUAAGUAAAAGAUAGAACUAUAAUUAACAGAGAACAACACAAGAGAUUUAUACUGGUUCACAGAAACAAGGGCUAGUCCAGUCCCGACCAACUGCCGGAAUUCACUCGCCUAAAGGUAAUGGCAAAACCUUAGAGUAUCAAGGAAACUCUUAAGAACCUCUCUAAGCUUUAAGGCUACUUCGCUUAGGAACCAGUCUUUUACGGGUAGACUCACACCUUAGAGUAUCAAGGGCACUCUUAAGAACCUCUAACUUUUACGGGUAAGUUAGUACCUUAGAGUAUCAAGGAACUCUUAAAAACCUCUCUAAGCUUUAAGGCUACUUCGCUUAGGAACCAGUCUUCUACGGGUAGACUCACACCUUAGAGUAUCAAGGGCACUCUUAAGAACCUCUAACUUUUACGGGUAAGUUAGUACCUUAGAGUAUCAAGGAACUCUUAAAAACCUCUGAAAUCUUUAAAGGUAGACUCAACCUAAGAGUUUUCCCGGAAACUCUAUAAAACCAAACUAGAGCUUUAUAGUUGAUCUCACAAACCUUCUCUAACACUUUGGUACUAUUGAGACAACCCUCUCAACCAAAGUGGACACACACAAGAGGUGAUUAGAGGAGUGGAAUAUUAAAGCAAACAACACUUCUUACUUGUAA